GACGAACGCUGGCGGCGUGCUUAACACAUGCAAGUCGAACGGAAAGGCCCUGCUUUUGUGGGGUGCUCGAGUGGCGAACGGGUGAGUAACACGUGAGUAACCUGCCCUUGACUUUGGGAUAACUUCAGGAAACUGGGGCUAAUACCGGAUAGGAACUCCUGCUGCAUGGUGGGGGUUGGAAAGUUUCGGCAGUUGGGGAUGGACUCGCGGCUUAUCAGCUUGUUGGUGGGGUAGUGGCUUACCAAGGCUUUGACGGGUAGCCGGCCUGAGAGGGUGACCGGCCACAUUGGGACUGAGAUACGGCCCAGACUCCUACGGGAGGCAGCAGUGGGGAAUAUUGCACAAUGGGCGGAAGCCUGAUGCAGCAACGCCGCGUGCGGGAUGACGGCCUUCGGGUUGUAAACCGCUUUCGCCUGUGACGAAGCGUGAGUGACGGUAAUGGGUAAAGAAGCACCGGCUAACUACGUG
rnacentral:rRNA from 1 species